rnacentral:misc_RNA from 1 species
GAUGAAGAACGUAGCGAAAUGCGAUACUUGGUGUGAAUUGCAGAAUCCCGUGAAGCAUCGAGUUUUUGAACGCAAGUUGCGCCCGAAGCCAUUAGGCCGAGGGCACGCCUGCCUGGGCGUCACACGUCGUUGCCCCCCCAUCUACUCCUUCGGGAUUGCGGGGGGCGGAUGAUGGCCUCCCGUGCGCCUCGUCGCGCGGUUGGCAUAAAUACCAAGUCCUCGGCGACGCACGCCACGACAAUCGGUGGUUGCGAAACCUCGGUUGCCCGUCGUGUGCGGUCGUCGCGCAUCGAGGGCUCGAAAAAAUUGCCGGGCUCCGGCUCGGCUUUCAACGCGACCCCAGGUCAGGCGGGGUUACCCGCUGAAUUUAAGCAUAUCAAUAAGCGGAGGA